rnacentral:rRNA from 1 species
CAUUCGAGGUAGACGCAGAGAACUGAAACAUCUAAGUACCUGCAGGAAGAGAAAGAAAAUUCGAUUCCCUGAGUAGCGGCGAGCGAAACGGGAAAAGCCCAAACCAGCAAGCUUGCUUGUUGGGGUUGUAGGACUCCAAUAUGGUAGUUCUUUCAGAUAGUCGAAUGACUUGGAAAAGUCAGUCAAAGAGGGUAAAAACCCCGUAGACGAAAUGUGGAAGACACCUAGGAGGAUCCUGAGUACGGCGGAACACGAGAAAUUCCGUCGGAAUCCGGGAGGACCAUCUCCCAAGGCUAAAUACUCCCUAGUGACCGAUAGUGAACCAGUACCGUGAGGGAAAGGUGAAAAGCACCCCGGAAGGGGAGUGAAAUAGAACCUGAAACCGUGUGCCUACAACAAGUCAAAGCCCGUUAAUGGGUGAUGGCGUGCCUUUUGUAGAAUGAACCGGCGAGUUACGAUUGCAUGCGAGGUUAAGUUGAAGAGACGGAGCCGCAGCGAAAGCGAGUCUGAAUAGGGCGUUUGAGUAUGUAGUCGUAGACCCGAAACCAUGUGAUCUACCCAUGUCCAGGUUGAAGGUGCGGUAAAACGCACUGGAGGACCGAACCCACGUACGUUGAAAAGUGCGGGGAUGAGGUGUGGGUAGCGGAGAAAUUCCAAACGAACUUGGAGAUAGCUGGUUCUCUCCGAAAUAGCUUUAGGGCUAGCCUCGGAAUUGAGAAUGAUGGAGGUAGAGCACUGUUUGGACUAGGGGCCCAUCUCGGGUUACCGAAUUCAGAUAAACUCCGAAUGCCAUUCAUUCAUAUCCGGGAGUCAGACUGUGAGUGAUAAGAUCCAUAGUCGAAAGGGAAACAGCCCAGACCACCAGCUAAGGUCCCAAAAUAUAUGUUAAGUGGAAAAGGAUGUGGGGUUGCACAGACAACUAGGAUGUUGGCUUAGAAGCAGCCACCAUUUAAAGAGUGCGUAAUAGCUCACUAGUCGAGUGACCCUGCGCCGAAAAUGUACCGGGGCUAAACAUAUUACCGAAGCUGUGGAGUACACCUUUAGGUGUAUUGGUAGGAGAGCGUUCUAAGGGCGUUGAAGGCAGAUCGUGAGGACUGCUGGAGCGCUUAGAAGUGAGAAUGCCGGUAUGAGUAGCGAAAGACAGGUGAGAAUCCUGUCCACCGAAUGACUAAGGUUUCCUGGGGAAGGCUCGUCCGCCCAGGGUUAGUCGGGACCUAAGCCGAGGCCGACAGGCGUAGGCGAUGGAUAACAGGUUGAUAUUCCUGUACCCGUUGUUUUUGUUUGAGCAAUGGAGGGACGCAGGAGGCUAAGGAAUGCAGACGAUCGGAAAUGUCUGUCCAAGCAGUAAGUCUGAAGAGGAGUCAAAUGCUUCUUUUCUUAAGGACAAGCUGUGAUGGGGAGGGAAAUAAUAGUACCGAAGUUCCUGAUGUCACACUGCCGAGAAAAGCUUCUAGUGAGAAAACAGCGGCCCGUACCGCAAACCGACACAGGUAGUCGAGGAGAGAAUCCUAAGGUGAGCGAGAGAACUCUCGUUAAGGAACUCGGCAAAAUGACCCCGUAACUUCGGGAGAAGGGGUGCUGAUCAUACGAUCAGCCGCAGUGAAUAGGCCCAAGCGACUGUUUAUCAAAAACACAGGUCUCUGCAAAAUCGUAAGAUGAAGUAUAGGGGCUGACGCCUGCCCGGUGCUGGAAGGUUAAGAGGAGUGCUUAGCGCAAGCGAAGGUACGAAUUGAAGCCCCAGUAAACGGCGGCCGUAACUAUAACGGUCCUAAGGUAGCGAAAUUCCUUGUCGGGUAAGUUCCGACCCGCACGAAAGGCGUAACGAUUUGGGCACUGUCUCAACGAGAGACUCGGUGAAAUUUUAGUACCUGUGAAGAUGCAGGUUACCCGCGACAGGACGGAAAGACCCCAUGGAGCUUUACUGUAGUUUGAUAUUGAGUGUCUGUACCGCAUGUACAGGAUAGGUAGGAGCCGUAGAAAUCGGAACGCUAGUUUCGAUGGAGGCGCUGGUGGGAUACUACCCCUGCGUUAUGGCCACUCUAACCCGCACCACUAAUCGUGGUGGGAGACAGUGUCAGAUGGGCAGUUUGACUGGGGCGGUCGCCUCCUAA